rnacentral:rRNA from 1 species
UACGCAGGGGGCUAGCGUUGCUCGGAAUCACUGGGCGUAAAGGGUGCGUAGGCGGGUCUUUAAGUCAGGGGGGAAAUCCUGGAGCUCAACCCCAGAACUGCCUUUGAUACUGAGGAUCUUGAGUUCGGGAGAGGUGAGUGGAACUGCGAGUGUAGAGGUGAAAUCCGUAGAUAUUCGCAAGAACACCAGUGGCGAAGGCGGCUCACUGGCCCGAUACUGACGCUGAGGCACGAAAGCGUGGGGAGCAAACAGG